UACAGAGGUCCCAAGCGUUGUUCGGAUUUACUGGGCGUAAAGGGCGCGUAGGCGGUCAGCACAAGUCAGUUGUGAAAUCUCCGGGCUUAACUCGGAAAGGUCAACUGAUACUGUGCGACUAGAGUGCAGAAGGGGCAACUGGAAUUCUCGGUGUAGCGGUGAAAUGCGUAGAUAUCGAGAGGAACACCUGCGGCGAAGGCGGGUUGCUGGGCUGACACUGACGCUCAUGCACGCAAGCGUGGGGAGCAAACAGG
rnacentral:rRNA from 1 species